rnacentral:rRNA from 1 species
CCUACGGGAGGCUGCAGUGGGGAAUAUUGCGCAAUGGGCGAAAGCCUGACGCAGCGACGCCGCGUGAGGGAUGAAGGCCUUCGGAUCGUAAACCUCUGUCAGCAGGGAAGAACGGUCACUGUGCUAAUCAGCAGUGAAUUGACGGUACCUGCAAAGGAAGCACCGGCUAACUCCGUGCCAGCAGCCGCGGUAAUACGGAGGGUGCGAGCGGUAAUCGGAAUUACUGGGCGUAAGGGGCUCGUAGGCGGUAUGUCAAGUCAAGGGUGAAAUCCCCGGGCUCAACGUGGGAACUGCCUUUGAAACUGGGAACCUGGAGUGUGUGAGAGGAUAGUGGAAUUCCAGGUGUAGGGGUGAAAUCCGUAGAUAUCUGGAGGAACAUCAGUGGCGAAGGCGACUAUCUGGCACAUAACUGACGCUGAGGAGCGAAAGCGUGGGUAGCAAACAGGAUUAGAUACCCUUGUAGUC